rnacentral:lncRNA from 1 species
CAAUAGGGAGGCAGAUUAGGCGGGGCUAGGAGAGAAGGAUUCUGGGAAAUGUAGGAAAGGAGAGAGUUGCCAUGUGAUCCCAGGAAGAGAGGACACAUAAGGCUGUCGCCCUCGGAAUAUCUGGACAUGUUUCCUAUCACUUCAAAAAACAAGUCCUGGAAACAUGGCGAUUCAAGCAAGUCCUGGGUCCCGCUUGUAGGUCUGCAAGUCACAAGUCCUGCUUGGGUCCAGCUGUAUUCUCUGUUUCUUAGAUUUUCAUCAGGCUGACCUCCAGGUGUCAGUCAGCUAGGGACUCCUCCCAGAGGCCACCCACAGUUUCUCCCCACAAAAUCUUCUCAAGGCCAACAGGAAAGUCUCUGCAGCUUGGUUGAAUCUCCCUUACCUCUCCAUGGUUCACUCUGGACCUCCUUUUAUGUGGUCCACCUAGUUAGAUCAGACUCAUGGAAGAUACGCAGCCUUUAACGUCCAGCUGGUUAACAGUCGCAGGCACUGAUUACUCUCGAGUAAACAAAGUAGGGUUUAAUUUAUUACCUACAACAGGCACCGUGACUGCAGGUAAUGGUGUGAAGGAGUUCUACGGGGCAGUUCAGCAGGGUGACAGAGAGGAGGUCUUGUGAAAGGGACAUCUGGGCUGAGACCAGAAAGAGGAGAAGGAAGAACAGUCUAGGUGGCAGCUAGUGUCCGAAACAAAUUCAAGAAUAGGUUGUCUUCCUAGGGAGAAUUUUUAAAAAAAUUUGUUUGUUCUAGCAUCUCUGGAUACCUGGUGUAUUCCAUGACUUCCAGAUGCAGAAGGUAGUAUCCUUGGCCGUCGACAAGGGCCCUCCAUGCCCCUCCCUUCCCUCAACUACAACUGGUAGGAUUGAUGGCACACGAAGUGUACUCUUGGAUCACUGCUAUGUUUGAGCAAUGCAUCACAACCAUUACCCAGCUGCAUGCACUAAAAUGCCUUUCCAUACAUGGGUGCGUGUUACCCUGGAAAACUGAAGGCUUUUAUUUCAAAUUGGUUUACUUUGAAGUUUUCUUUGGUGCACAUCCUACUAUGCCAUAAGAGAAGUCUAUUCCAGGUUGGGAUACUGCUCACAUUUGCAAGCAUUUCAGCACACUAAGCUGCAUUGACAGAAACUCAUGAACAUGCAAGUAGUGAAUUUUGUGUUUGUUUCCUUCCUGCCUAUCAAUGUCUUCCUUCUACUUGAUUAAUAAAUCGUUCAGCAAUACCUGAAAACCUACAUCAGGAAUGUGCUCAGCACCGUCUCACUUCCUUAUCCCUGGGAUGCUUUCAUUCAUCCAAGGCCUUUCCUCCCAUCCUCUGAACAAUCUGCUAGUUUUCCUACUAAUUUCCUGUUCAUAUUCUCUAGUUCUACAUAGCCACCAAAUCACCUUCCUGAAAACUGAAAAAAGAAACUUUUUUUUUCCUCCUGCAUGUCCUUUACAUUCCAGUGGAACAGAGUUGGCCAAGAGCAAAUAAACAAAUACCAAACUUAGAAAACCAACUACCAAACUUCCAGACAGAAGACAUGUGACAAGGAAUCAUAAAAAAAAAAAAAAAAGGAAAAGAGCCAAGAAUGGUGGCAUAAACUUUUAAUCCCAGCACUCGGGAGACAGAAGCAGGUGAAUCUCUGUGCGUUCAAGGUCAGCCUGGUCUACAGAGUGAGUUCCAGGACAGCCAGGGCAAUUAAACAGAGAAACCCUGUCUGAAAAGAAAAAACAAAAACAAAACAAGGCAGGCUAAGGACAGAGAGGGAGUGGUUUUAGAUACACUGGUGACAUGAAUGUUAUUAUCCCAGCUAAAAUCAAACCUGGUCAAAUACACUUGGGUUUAAUGUCUUGAGACACUGCAGUGACUCUUACUAGGAGAGCAUUGGGGAAGCUUCAGACUCUGGCUUGGAAGGUGAUUCUGAAAGCUAGUUAGAGGACAUCAGAAAGCAGAAGAGUCUCUGAAUGGGCAUUUUGACAUGUUCUAUGUAGAAGACAAGAACACUGUAAGUGGUCAGGACACAUGCUGUCUAGAGACGAGAACAGGGCAACACUGUCAUUGUAAAUGGCCAGAAAACAGGAGUCACUUACACUAGCUAAAAUGUUCUGCUUUGUGGUUUAGAAAACCCGAAUAUUAGAGUGUGUUAUGCCUGUCACCAUAAAGGCCAAUGGGCAGAGUUAGGAAUGAAAUGUUAAGUUGCACUUGGCUCAGAGUCAGCGAUCUGAGAGGGCAGCAGACACAUACCUUGGAAGAAAUACUGCCACAUCUCUCUGGCCAGCAGAUUACACAGGUGAAGGAUGGGGACACAGACAUUCAUUUAGGAAUCUUGUUUUGUCCCUCUUGACAGCCAGAUUUGAGCCUUGUGAUGUCGGUAUCUCUCAUUAUCACCCCUUGUGUUCUUCUCUCAUUUUAUGGGCAUCUGGCUCCAGACACUUUUUGAAAUACUCAAUUUUAUGUGUCUUGGGCAUCAACCUUGUACUCCUUCCUCUACAGGUCUCUGGGCUGGGGGCAGGGAUUAACUCAGAACAAGUCAUUAGCAGUGACUAAAAAGCUAGUAGAAGCAUGUGUGAGCAGAGUCCUUUCUACAAUAUUAGUUACAGAUGUGCCCUUGUAAUACAGAAUACAAGGUGCUUCUUUCUAUUCAUCCCUCCUGCCCACUACAAGUCUGGAGGACGCUCCUGUGUUUGACCUAUUCAGACAUGACUGUGGAGGGUUCUUUCCUUCACCUUCUCGUCACCAUGACCACAGCGGUCAUACCUGACAUUGAUGUUUGGUGACUGUUUAUGCCCAAGAGAAUAUGUGACUUAGCUGACAAUGCUAGGCCAGAUGCUGAUAGGACCAGCAAGAGAUAGCUGAAAGAGCCAGUCUCUUCUCUGUCUAUGCAGGAUUAUGGGUUUACCAGUUUUUCUUUAAUAAUCAGCUGCCAAAAUGGUCUCUAAGUAUAAUUUAUAACUCUUGCUCAUAGUUUUAUUUCUUGAAAAUUUAUCUAUACUACUCUUUAGGGUAGUGAGUUCCUACAGUUUCGGUGACUGUGUCAGUUACGUCUCCAUGGCUUUGAUAAAAACACCAUGAACGAUGCACACCCUAGAAGAGUUUAUUUGGGCUUACAGUCUCAGGAGGGUCAGAGUCCUGGAUGGCAAGGUGCAGGCAUGGCACCAAAGCUGGAAGCCAGGGGCUUAUAUGUUGAACAACAAGCUGGAAGCAGAGAGUGUAAACCGGAACUCUGCAAAGUUCUGAAAUCUCAAAGCCUGCCCCAUACCUCUUCCCUCAAGCUUCUAAGUCUGAAAUCUACCCACACAGCACCAGCUGGGGUCCAAGUAUUCAAAUGUUCGAAACUACGGGAGGCAUUUAUCAUUCAAACCACAGCAAUUCAGUGCCUCACACACCUAUUUUUAAGAGUGUCUGUAGCCUAGGCAUGCCUUCAACAGUAGCAAUUUCCUGCCUCAUCCUCCUCAGUGCUGGGAUUACAGGUGUGAACCCUGAGCUGGGGUGGAGUUAAGUGGUGAUGCCAAGCUUAGAGGAGUUUCUUUUUUAUUUUUUUGUCAAGAAGAUCUAAGUAGGUGGAGGGAGGUGGUGAGAGCAGACAGAAAAUUCCUUAACUACCCAACACAGAUAGUUAUCAUCAUAGGCAGAGUGCAACCACUAGACCAACGACAAUCUACAAUGCUGACUGGCUCAGGAAUUGCAAUAAAAUACCUACUGUAAAUUUCAGAAACUUCGAAAGCCUCAGACUCAUCUGCCCAACUCAUUUUUAAAAAUAGGAAGCUGGAGUUAGAGUACACAUGGACUCUGAUGGGUCUGCAUGAUGCCAGGACUAGCUAAAAUCAGGAAGACACUCUUGGGUUCUAACUCCACAGUGUGAUUCAACACAGUUGAGAUUCAUUCAUAUUCUAUUUUAAUUCAUGAGUAGUGUUGCACUGGAUGAAUAUUCCAACGUACUCAUUCUCCCACUGAGGGACAUCUGGGACACCCUCUAGGUUUUUGCUCUCCCACGAACAGUUGCAAUGAGCAUUUCUGCACAAGUCUCUUUGUAGACAGAGGGUUUUACUUCUCUUGGCUAACACAGCAUGUGGGGCUGAUGGGUCAAAGGGUUGGUCUGUGUUUGACAUGAAACGGACAGGGCUGUACCCUCCAACAGUUUUACAACAGCUUCUUUUGCUCAAAGAGUAGCCAAGCGGAGACAGCAAAGGAUCGGUAAGGCCUUAACUUGGCCUCUCACCAGGGAAGCUCUGGGGUCCUGGAGGACGCCCCUCCCCCAUCACCCACUAUGGCCAUGUGGGUGAUCUCUCUAGGGAAAAGGACAGCAGGCAGCGCAUUCGAUCGCAACAGUUGUCUGAAUCUCUUUGACAAAUCUUUGUCUCCCUGUUUCUUGAAAUUCCGCUUCAUUGCGCGCAAGCCCCGGAAGUGGGAUUUCUGAAUAUGAAGACUUGAAAGGGCGGUUUCUGAAAAAGAGACCAUGGCUUGCAAAAAUCUGGUGGUAUGUCUGGGUGGCGCCACGUCCCCAACCAUGUCCUUGGCAGCUCCUAAAGACACCCAGUUUUCUUGAGCCAGGUAGUGGGGUUGCAUUUAAUGGAAAGUAGAAAUUGCCAGAAACAGGAUGCACCCGCCUUCUUUCUAACCUUUAGUUUCCUUUCCGCCUCCUCCGGGGUCACAAGGAAGACAUUCCUCCUCAAGUCUCUCCUUCUCCUCUUCACUUCCACUGACCGGCCACUUUAUACUCGUUACUAUGGUUUGAAAUUUGCCAGUGCAAGAGUAUGGGUGCCACAUUGCUAAGAAGCAGGUCCUUUAAGAGGUGAUGAGGACAUUGGAGUUGUGCCCUCAGGAAAGGAGUGUCACCACAAGAGUGGGUCUCUCAUAAAAGCCACCGUCUCUUGCCCUGCCACUUAGCUGACACUACGUGAUGUCACUCCCCUUUCCAAAGCCCCCCAGAACCCAAAGCCAGAUAAACUACUGUUUAUAACCAGUCGAUAGCAUUGCUACAGCAGCAGAAGAGACUAAGGCAGCCUUCCCCACCUUCUCCCCUGUGAAAGCCAACCGCUCACUACCCUAUCAGCCCAGCAGCGGUGUAAUUUAAGAUUUCUACAGGGUCAACUUUGCCACCGAAGUCUGUCCUGUGGGCACCGCACUGACCUCCACAGAGUGGACGGACUGGGUUUCCAAGUGUCGACAGUAAGAGCGAGCUUGAAGCCCAGAAGGAGUCUGAGAAACCACCUUGCAGUGUGUGUGGGUAACUUCAUCCUGCGGCUGUGAGCAGUGAGCAACAGGUCCCUAGACGAAAGAGCAGGAGCGCUGGCGUGCCGCACCACCCUCCCGACAGACCGCACUGGCUCUCCACCGCUUCCCGAGGGGCCUCAGUUUCCCAGUCAGGGCUGAGG